ACGCACGCGAAACACACCGCGCAGGAUUUGGCGCGCCGCGGUCCCACGUCGGGUGUUGAACAGACGUCGACGAGUUCGGCGUCGUCGAGGAGAGGAGAGCACAGCGCAGUGCGGUGUAUCGCUUGAUAGGGUAAUUUUGUCGCACGGAAAUCAGUGAAUCGCGGAAAGUGUCGCGAUCCGGUUUUGCGAUAUAAUUGUGCGCGAAGUCGAGAGCUAGGAAAAAUAGUGAGAUGAGGUUUGACCCUACGGCAAGAAGGGGCCCUGUGAUUAAUCCGACGGAAUAAGAGCCACCGACACCGUCGCCGACGGUAGAAUGAACUCUUGAACCGGUUCAUUGGAAUCCAGAAAAGAACGGAAGAGGGACUCGGGACCGAAGACAACAUGUCACGUGUCGAAACUCGCGUCGCGCGGACGGCGAUUAUCGCGGCCACUUUCAUCUGGGCCUACUCAAUGGGCAGCGAAUUUCCAGAGAGAGAAUGCUGCGAUCCAGUUUACCCGAUACCCGAACCAACCAGCAGGGCACCGUCGGCCCCAACACCGACCGGAAGAAGCGGACCGAACAUUAAGACGGCUGUGGCGAUUUUGAACUGCCUUCUGGCGCGGCAGCUGUGCUUCGAGGAUCCAUCCUGCAGCGCCAUUUUGGAAAUCAUACCGAGGGUCUGCGGUCCGGAAUUGGUUGCCUGUUCGACGGUGACUGUCCCGAAGUGUCAAGCGGCUUUGGUGACUCUGCAAGCCUUUCCAUUCUUCAAACCGACAUGCCUGUGUCGAGAGCCGCACGUCGAUCCGGAAUGCAACAGCUUUAGGGACUUCCUGUUCGAUCAUCCGUGCGUUUACGUUCUUAAAAAAGAUCCGCUUCCGGUGGAGCCACUUCCGACAUGCAACCACGCGUUGAGCGUCUGUCAGCGAGGCAAGACCUGCGUCAAGCUCUUCGACGACUUCAAGACGAACUGCAAAGCCAGGGACGGUAAAUGCAGAAUGGAAAGUAGGGAAACCUGCCAUGAUGCAUGGACACAUCUGCGGCUAUCUCCGAUGUUUGGAUGUAUCUGCCCCAACAAUCACAUGAAACGUAGAUGCGACAAGAUCUUCUCGAUAGUGAACCACAACCCGUGCGUCGAGUUUCUGCCCUCCGCGACCAUUGACUUAUCGGGGACCGACUCCGCGCUCUAUCCGUUCGACCCCCACCAGGAGAACUUUCAAGAGUUCUGGUUCCCCCCGACCAGUAUGUACCCAUAUUUUCUCUUCCCCGCCACCGCAACCACGCGAACAUUCAAUGAGAUCGAGGCCCGGUACCGCUACCACGAGGUGCCGCCGCCCAAGGCUCCCGAGGUCCCUAAGCAGCGUCACGGGAACCUAGGCCAUCACGCGCCUGGUACGAUCCUUGACCACUAUCAACACCACAACAACCAUGGUCUCGAUCUCGACCCAGAUCCUGGCCCACGCCCCAAUCCAGAUCCCGAAUAUCCUCGACGCCGACCCACCUUGGACGAGCACAAUUCUGACGACCUAACCUCCACCGGGGGACGAACACCAUUCUCUGAGCAUGACUACGCUUCGAGCACCGUCACCAUCUCUGAGCAUCAACAAAAGCACCUUUCCAAAGACCGGCAUGAGCAGAAUCGCAAUCGCAAUGUCUAUCCGCACGAAAACAAUCGGCACAGCCUAGCACCGUCAUCACCGAACUCCCCUUCAGCUGACUCAUCCUCUUCCUCCUCCUCUAAUCACUCGAAUUCCGAGAUACAAUUCCGUCAUCACAACCCUAACCAGCACCAGCACCAUAAUCACCGCAAUAGUCACGCACCAUCACCGGCACCGGCACCGGCACCAGCACCAGCACCAGCACCGGGUCACCAACACCACCAGCACCACCAUCAUCAUCACGAUCACGAUCAGCACUACCAUGGAAAGAAAUUUGCACCCAGACCGACUUAUGAGCAUCGGAGUGUCGUUGACGAGAUGAUCGACCUUGACGACAACGAGCUACGGCUCGGCGGCAGACAGCCCAUUGACCGGCUAUUCGGUCUCAGCGAAGCCUUCGAAGGGUUCGUCGACAAAGUGAAGGUCAUUUCACAUCCCGACAACUCAACGAGCUUUGAGGUAAUUGAGUCUCAGCUGGAGAAUCCCCUUAUCGAUGCUGAUCAUCGCGACCUCCAUGCCCUUAAGCAGAUACCGAUACCAGACGUACCCAGGCGGAAGAUUCAUCACGGAAAAAAUCAUUCGAAGAGCGAGCAAAACUCGAAAGGAGGUAAGCCAGCGGUCGCACUGUCCUCAGGAUCUAAGGCGAAAGGUCAUCGGGUCGUGCAUCGUCCUGCAGCGGCGGUAACCUUGUCUAGCACCUGCCACCAAGCCUACACUUCUUGCAGCAAUGACCCAGACUGUAAGACGGCGUUGCAGCCAGUCCUGAACCACUGCGACCUCGGAAACUGCGCUAGGAACGCCUGCAUGGAUGCUCUUCAACAGUUUUAUCGAACAGCGAGUGAAGCGCACACCAUGGAGAUCGCAUUUUGUUUGUGCAGGAAAACCAACAACAAACGGGACGACUGCAUCAUUGCUCAAGAAAAAAUGCACCCCGCAUGCGCCCAGCGAGUCGAGGGGGUUGAAAUGCCCACUUGUCACAGCCUCGCCGAAGUCUGCAGGGAAGACAAAGCAUGCAGGAAGAGGCUCGAGUACUACGAACAGAGUUGUGCGGUCGACAGUGUGACGAAAAAGUGCGCCGGGGUAACGAAAGAGUGUCGUCGAGCAAUGAUCGGGAUCCUAGGCACGGAGCUGCGUUCAAACUGUGCUUGCAAAGGGACAGACCUAGCACAAGUCUCCGACUGCCUCGGCUGGCAGCGACUGCUCUGGGUUAAUCCGUGCGUGGUUGAGUCGCAGAAGGACUUUCACGCGCGAAGAAAAGCCCAUCGUCAACGUACAACAACGGUUCUAACCCUAACAACGGAAGUGGAGGAAAAUUCGAGUGAUCUGGCUGAGUCGCACUCGGUCGAGCCAAUUUCGAAGGUCACACAGGUUGCCGAUUCCUGGGACUCAACCACCACUGUCUCGACGACGUCGACUACCACCACCACUACAACCACCACUACUACCGUGCCCCCGAGAUUCUGCAUCGUGCAAAGGCCCAGACAGACGCAUCAGUACAUCAGGGAAGGCCGAGGGAAGAGGCUCUACAGAGAGGACGAACCCGAGUGUUCGGAACUUUGCCAGUGCAGCGAGGGCGAGGUGCUUAUCUGCAACACCAUCUGCGUCGAGUCUUCACCCUGUAAAACCGACUUUGCAUUCUACAACCACGCUGCUCCCGCUUACCAGGCGUACCGCGGUCGCUGUCUCUGUUACAGUGGACGCUUCAUCUGCAUGCGGCCAUUCCCAGACGCGUACAGCAUCCCCCACGGCAUCUUCAUGUUUCUCGGGUAUAGCGAAGCUGAUGAAAAUCUGCUCAAGCAACACAGCAAUCUCACAAUUCUCGACGCUGUUUCAUCGCUGGACAGCUUCGUGCAACAAGAAAUUGACAACCAGACUGUCUGCACACUGCUUCUGUACAACGUGACUAAAGAAAAUGUCAUCGCCAUUGCUCAAAUAAAGUCGGACACAACUCUUACGGGUAACACGAGUCACCUGUCUCGAAGUCAGGCCGAGCUUCAAACCCAGGUACAAACAUUGCAGCAGUUGAAGCGGGUAAAGGAUGAGUGCGCAGAAAUGCUUCGCGAUUUGAGUGAAAAGAUCAACAACAAACAUCACGAGAUCUACACGCAUCCGCUUUUGUCAAUAUUCAAAAUGGCGGAAGUCGAAGUCAGGCUUCCACAAACAAACAGAGGCAGUCCGUCGCGAUUCGUGAAAGAUCCGCUUCAGCGGUUACUCUUGACGUUGCUACUCGUCACAACGAGUUACCUCGUGACUAGAAGACCCGGCAUCUGUAUUCCAACUGUAACGCCAUCAGCGUUCGUCAAAACGAUGCGCCAAGGCUCGUGACAGAGCAUAACUCGCGAUAUUGUAGAAUUAUCACCACAACAGAGACUCACGUAGUGAGGAAGGGUGUAUAAUAGCGUUGAGCCAGCCGAACGAACUGAAAACGAGAUGGUGGAACACCUCGCACGCCCUUGAUCGUCGAUACUUGAACUGAUGCCUGACCUAAAACUAUAAUUCAAGUAUCGAAGAUCCAUCGAGAGCUUAUAAAAUAACGAUCGAUAAUUAUGUGGCAUAAUAAGUGCGUGCGAAGCGCGGCCAAGACUCCGCACAACAAAGCAAUAAUGUAUAGAGAGAAAAAUGAGAGCGAGGGAGAACAAUAUAGAAAAGAGCGAAAACGAGAUAUCUGAGAGCGUGAGAGUGAGAGGGGAAAAUUUUUACUGAAAAGAGAUGACAAAGAAAAAAAAAGAAAGGUUGAUUUAAGAUUUAAGUUUAUCUUGUACUAAAUCACGUACCUAACGUUAUAAGUUUAAGGCAAUUCCAUUCUACGUAUAACAAUGCCAGACGCGGAAAUCAUUAGAUUGUGUCUCCACUGCGGUAUAAGUGAUCGUGUAACGAAAUCGAAAUGGACCCGCAAUUCCAUAUAACUAUAGAUAUCGUCGAGUUUCAUAAAUAUCAGAUUUGAGAUUUGAAUUAAAUUCGCCUGUACCGGUAUUUGGCGAGACUUCAUUAUGCAAGUUAUUUAUUGCUCGGUUUUUGAAGUACGUACCUAUACCGUUAUAACUUUCCACCACGUCGCGGCUAAGGGCAACCUAAUAGCUGUUUAAGCAUUAAGGCUUAUUUGUUCGUCCCACGAAGUCGCAAUAAAGUACGGUAAAGUUGGUUUCAAUAAAGCUAAGAGCCGCAGGGCCCAAUUUCGCUCCUUUCAAACGUUGAACUAUAGUUCAUUUCCGAAUGUUUACCAGUUUGCAGAUACAUUCCUUACGUAUUUUUCAUUUCUCAACUCCUCAUUGUAGUGAGUAAAAAAUUUAUCAAACCUCGUUAUGAGAUUUUAUUUCAAAAAUUGUAUAAUUUCAUGAAGCCGGGAUACCUACCCCCGGUAUCUCUUAAAUCAGUUGAUACACAAGGGGCGCCGGAGACAAAUUAAAAAUGAGCGUUAAUUUCCCCCGCGCUGUUUGAACAUAUCAAGACCCGGCGUGACCGGGUCAGCCAAUAUUUUUAUUACCAUAUACUAUACUUGUUCGCCGGUUGAGAGAAUGUACCCGCGUACGUCCGUAUAACUGCAGGUCAAAAAGGUAACUCGGAAAGAGUUACGAGAAACGGGCCGUAGACAAGCGACGUAUUGCGACACGGCAACCGGCAAGGGUCAAAAAUCGAUCGUUUUCGGUACUCUACGGUGCCUCACGUAUACUUCCAUAUUGAACUACAAAUAUAAGUAUGUACGUGUAUAUUAUACAUACACAUAUAUACAUGUAUUAUGUAAGAGGUUAUAUUGUACAUAAAAAAUACAUGUAUACCCUAAUGUACAUAGAUUAAGACACUUACCGAUCGAGGCUGCAAUUAAAUCCAUGGAAUUUGUUUUAUUGGCCGUCGGUCACUCUAUUUUAUCAGCACAUGGUACACUUACCCACAUGGUCAGAUCGAUUUCAUGAAAUCUACAUUGUCGACCGUCGGUUCAGCGAUUCGAUUAAUGAUAAAAUAAUAUACGCGGUGAACCGAAUAGAUUUUUUUUCUCCGUCACUCGGACCAAUUCUUCAUUCAAAUAUGAAGCAGGUAGGGUAAAAAAAAAUUACCUGAAUAAUGAAAGGGAAAAUGUACCAAUAUCCCAACCAAUGUAUACUCGACUCUAGCAAGUCCGCUGAUUGACUGUGAAUGCGUUAUCGUUCUUCUCGCGAUGUUUCACAUGCGGCAACACACACGUGCGCACGUUACCUCACCUGGAAUAAAUGCGAGGAACUGACAUACGCCACGGAUGUGUCGGUGCUGCGUACCAGGGUGAAAAUGUUGUAUGACACCAUUUCCUCCCUCGAAUUGCGUUUGCGUGGUUCGUUCAAUACUUAAUAAGCGCUAUUCCGACCGGGCUAACACGAUACAACACACAACGUGCGCACGUGCAUGCGUGCAUGCGUGACAUAUCUAUAGCUAGUGGGUACUCAAAGUCGAGCGCAACGUAAAGUAAACUUUGCGCAAAUUAUGCAAACAAAUGAUUUUGGUACACGUGUACGCGAAACGCGACGACCGUAAACAACGAUAACGUUACACAAUGCAUACGUCAACGAAAUAAUCUAUGCCCAACUUUGAUGAAACAGAAACGGAAUACGUAUACCGUGGCGUGUACUACAUAUUGCAAUAAUUGAACAUAUUAUAAAAAGUCUGUACGAAAAAAUUAAGAUAAAGAAAAGGGAAACGAAACCUGUUGUCUAGGAAUAAGCUGUCAUGUACAUUGUGCACUAUACAUUAGGUUGUAAGUAUUAUAAAUUGAAUACAAUGCGAAAGUUGUAGCGCGUUGUUUAAUAAAGAAAUAAUGUCUACGAACUA
rnacentral:misc_RNA from 1 species